UUACAUUUAAUUCUCAUUGUUUUUAUUGAACUAAAACCAUUUUAUUUACCAUUAGUUUUGCUUUUAUUUUUAAGGCAAGUAAAACACAUUUUUUACUGAUUUUUUGUGUUAUUUAGAAAACGUUACAUCAAGAUCAUAAUUUAUAGAAAGUCUUGGUUUACUUCAAAGUCUUUCAAGUUUUUAUCUCAGAAUGACUAAAUGUUUGCAUAAAAAGCUUUGACUUAAAUCAUUAUAUGUAGUAUAUCAUAAAUCAUUUAGUGUAAUAUCUCCAAAAGUUUCUCAUCUGUUAUUUUAAGUGUUAUAGUCAAAUAAUAAAUAGUGAAACAAAUAUUGAAAUAUGUAAAAAUGAUUUGUGCUACAUAAAUUUGAACAAACAGAAUAGGUUUUUUUAUCCUUUAUCAAUGCUUUUAGUCAAAUAAUAUGUUCACAUGACUAAGAAUUACACUUUCUUUAUUGUAAAAUGUAAAUAGAUUUAUUAAUAUCGAUAAUAUAAGAGUUAGAAAACGAUUUGGGGACGUCUAGAAAGUUGACGUGAAAUUAACUUAUAACUGCAGAAGAUAGAUAUGUAAAGUAAAUCUCCGAGAACUGAGAGUUCAUCAUGCAUCAAACGGUUUUUACUGCUCAAUCUGUUCGAAACACAUUUUAUUCUUUCACUUCCUCCUCUGAGUCGAGUAUCCAUGGCAACAGAUAUCCACGACUGAUGACCCGUCACGGCAGACAGGUUUCUAUUCUAAACAUAGUCAGCUCUGAAAGUAACAUUUCCCUAAAGCUACCAAAGGGGAAUAUCUCAAUUCAGAAAGGAAGACUGAGAAGGAUGAAGAAGAAAGGAUUUCAUGGAGGUGGAUGAUGCAAAAUGUGCUGCCAAAAAACAAAAACAGAUAUAUUGUGAGCACAGGAUGUCCUGAGGCUGAAGAAUUCAUACCAGCUUCUCCUGAAAAGAGUUUGUUGGUCCUUCAGAAAAUUUACAAUUUUUCACUUUCAAAAAAAAUGGAUAUCUGUCGCCCUCUGCUGGUAGAAGAGCAGCACUGACGUUUGCUCUGUGACAGUAUUUUUUGUUAAUUAUAUAAUUUGUUUAAAUGUAGAUUUCUAAAAAUGUGUCAAUUUUAUGUGUAUGUGUUUACAUAAAUCGAAUUGAAACAAAAUUUUUCAUCAAAAGGUAUGAGUGUAUUUUUAAGAGAACCUAAAAGCUUACAAAUAAAAAUAAUAAUAAAAAAAAA